rnacentral:rRNA from 1 species
GAUGAACGCUGGCGGCGUGCCUAAUACAUGCAAGUCGAGCGAACAGACGAGGAGCUUGCUCCUCUGACGUUAGCGGCGGACGGGUGAGUAACACGUGGAUAACCUACCUAUAAGACUGGGAUAACUUCGGGAAACCGGAGCUAAUACAGGAUAAUAUAUUGAACCGCAUGGUUCAAUAGUGAAAGACGGUUUUGCUGUCACUUAUAGAUGGAUCCGCGCCGCAUUAGCUAGUUGGUAAGGUAACGGCUUACCAAGGCGACGAUGCGUAGCCGACCUGAGAGGGUGAUCGGCCACACUGGAACUGAGACACGGUCCAGACUCCUACGGGAGGCAGCAGUAGGGAAUCUUCCGCAAUGGGCGAAAGCCUGACGGAGCAACGCCGCGUGAGUGAUGAAGGUCUUCGGAUCGUAAAACUCUGUUAGUAGGGAAGAACAAAUGUGUAAGUAACUAUUCACGUCUUGACGGUACCUAAUCAGAAAGCCACGGCUAACUACGUG